rnacentral:rRNA from 1 species
UGUCCUACGGGAGGCUGCAGUGGGGAAUCUUCCGCAAUGGGCGAAAGCCUGACGGAGCAACGCCGCGUGAGUGAAGAAGGCCUUCGGGUCGUAAAGCUCUGUCUUUAGGGAAGAACAACUAUAAUGCUAAUAUCAUUAUAGUCUGACGGUACCUAAGGAGGAAGCUCCGGCUAACUACGUGCCAGCAGCCGCGGUAAUACGUAGGGAGCAAGCGUUGUCCGGAAUUACUGGGCGUAAAGGGCGUGUAGGCGGGAAUUUAAGUAAGGUGUGAAAACUCCGGGCUCAACCUGGAGACUGCACUUUAAACUGAGUUUCUUGAGGGCAGGAGAGGAAAGUGGAAUUCCUAGUGUAGCGGUGAAAUGCGUAGAUAUUAGGAGGAACACCAGUGGCGAAGGCGACUUUCUGGACUGUACCUGACGCUGAGGCGCGAAAGCGUGGGGAGCGAACAGGAUUAGAUACCCCUGUAGUCAU